GAGGGAAGCUCCUGAGCUGAGGGCCGGCCUGCAGCCCUCCUGCUGCGCAUCCUCCUGCUGCGCAUCCAGACCCCGUGUAGAAAUGCUGAGUGCAUCUAUUUUUGUUCUCCUAUGGCAGCAGCCCUUGAAGAUUUGAGUUGAUUAAUGUAUCUUCAGGUUAAAACGGCCCUGGUUCAUUUAUUCUGCAUUUGUUCAAUAAAUAUUUAAUUGAAUUCGUAAAAAAAAAAAAAA
rnacentral:lncRNA from 1 species